GAUGAACGCUGGCGGCGUGCCUAAUACAUGCAAGUCGAGCGAACAGAUGAGGAGCUUGCUCCUCUGACGUUAGCGGCGGACGGGUGAGUAACACGUGGAUAACCUACCUAUAAGACUGGGAUAACUUCGGGAAACCGGAGCUAAUACCGGAUAAUAUAUUGAACCGCAUGGUUCAAUAGUGAAAGACGGUUUUGCUGUCACUUAUAGAUGGAUCCGCGCCGCAUUAGCUAGUUGGUAAGGUAACGGCUUACCAAGGCAACGAUGCGUAGCCGACCUGAGAGGGUGAUCGGCCACACUGGAACUGAGACACGGUCCAGACUCCUUCGGGAGGCAGCAGUAGGGAAUCUUCCGCAAUGGGCGAAAGCCUGACGGAGCAACGCCGCGUGAGUGAUGAAGGUCUUCGGAUCGUAAAACUCUGUUAUUAGGGAAGAACAAAUGUGUAAGUAACUAUGCACGUCUUGACGGUACCUAAUCAGAAAGCAACGGCUAACUACGUG
rnacentral:rRNA from 1 species